GACUACCUAAUGUACAUGUAGUCUAUAAUAUGUAUGUCUUAAUGAAGCUGUUGAUGUCUCUGGAACAAGUCAGUGUUAGUCUCAGAUUAGCCGGAGGGUGUUAGUGUCAGCUGUUAGUUGAUCACAAAUCAAUUUUUAGUAAAGUACUAGCAACUAUUGAUGGGAGAAACCUUCUAAGUGAUGCUCCAUUGAAACUAGCAGAAGCUAACAGCACUGUUGAAAUUACAAUGUUACUGUACUCUCAGGAGUGGCAGACAUCUUUACAGAAAACAGUUGCUAAAUAUUUCACAUCAUUAAUCACAGAAGGACAGUAAUCAAUAUCAACUAGUUUAUUCACAAAAUAUGAAGAGUGGUUAUCAUUAUUCAUUAGUGAUAUUAUUAAGUUGAUCCUAAGAUGAAGAAAGCUGGAUUACUAAGACUCACACAAACAGCAGAAGCAUUGUGGAGAAAACUGGUUGGCAUUCUCAGGAUUCUGGUGUACUGGUUGAACUGUGCAGACAUAUUUAAAUAUUA